rnacentral:rRNA from 1 species
AAAGCGUGCGCAGGCGGUUUUGUAAGACAGUGGUGAAAUCCCCGGGCUCAACCUGGGAACUGCCAUUGUGACUGCAAAGCUAGAGUGCGGCAGAGGGGGAUGGAAUUCCGCGUGUAGCAGUGAAAUGCGUAGAUAUGCGGAGGAACACCGAUGGCGAAGGCAAUCCCCUGGGCCUGCACUGACGCUCAUGCACGAAAGCGUGGGGAGCAAACAGGAUUAGAUACCCUUGU